GUUUCUGCCCGUACGUCGUCGCUGGUGAUUUUGCAUAAAAGUCCCUCGAUUUAUUAUAAAUUAACCCGCAGUCUCCGUUUAAGUGAAGCUGCAAAAACGAUUCAAUUUUACAAAGAUGCCCCUACGUUCGUAAGAAUUCAGCCCGCGAUCCUUUCUUUAUCCAGACAGCUUCCUUUCGAGUGCAGCGGGGCGGCGCAUUUCACGGGCAGCGGGGUGGCACAUUUCAGCGGGGGCGACAGCUCCGGGUGGGCUCGUGGGCGACCGUGCUGCAGGAGGCUUCGCGCGAGCACCCAAUCUCCCGUGUGUCCACCCAUGGGUUCUCGUCAUCGCGCCGGCGGCUGCCCUUGCCGCCACUCUCCGUUCCUCUGCCUGAGGCAGAGGAGGCAAAAAUAAAAUCAUCACCGCCUGGGAUCAAACUCUCCACAUGCGAACCAGAGAGGAUUCGACUUCAUAUUAGAAAAAGACAGUACCACCUCGCUAUUUUAGUCAUAUUUCAUCAAUAUAUAUGUGUGGGCGAUCUGAAAUCAACAAGCCGGCGAUCUGAAAUCAAUAAGCCGCCUCAAAAUCAAUCAAGGGAAGGAAUUAUUAAAGGAGAAUCAGCUCGAGGGGACCUAUCGACCAAUUACCGUAGAAUGGAAAGAAUGGAAAAAGAAAGAUUGG
rnacentral:rRNA from 1 species